CUGAACCAGCCAAGUAGCGUGAAGGAUGAAGGCUCUAUGGGUCGUAAACUUCUUUUAUAUAAGAAUAAAGUGCAGUAUGUAUACUGUUUUGUAUGUAUUAUAUGAAUAAGGAUCGGCUAACUCCGUGCCAGCAGCCGCGGUAAUACGGAGGAUCCGAACGUUAUCCGGAUUUAUUGGGUUUAAAGGGAGCGUAGGUGGACUGGUAAGUCAGUUGUGAAAGUUUGCGG
rnacentral:rRNA from 1 species